AUACUUACCUGGCAGGGCAGAUACCAUGAUCAUAAAGGUGGUUUUCCCAGGGCGAAGCUUAUCCAUUAUACUCCCAUGGGCCGACCCCUGCGAUUUCCCCAAAUAUGGGAAACUCAGUGGCAUAAUUGGUAGUGGAGGACUGCAUUUGCACUCUCCUC